AGUGAACGCUGGCGGUAGGCCUAACACAUGCAAGUCGAACGGCAGCACAGUAAGAGCUUGCUCUUACGGGUGGCGAGUGGCGGACGGGUGAGGAAUACAUCGGAAUCUACUUUUUCGUGGGGGAUAACGUAGGGAAACUUACGCUAAUACCGCAUACGACCUACGGGUGAAAGCAGGGGAUCUUCGGACCUUGCGCGAUUGAAUGAGCCGAUGUCGGAUUAGUUAGUUGGCGGGGUAAAGGCCCACCAAGGCGACGAUCCGUAGCUGGUCUGAGAGGAUGGUCAGCCACACUGGAACUGAGACACGGUCCAGACUCCUACGGGAGGCAGCAGUGGGGAAUAUGGGACAAUGGGCGCAAGCCUGAUCCAGCCAUACCGCGUGGGUGAAGAAGGCCUUCGGGUUGUAAAGCCCUUUUGUUGGGAAAGAAAAGCAGCAGGUUAAUACCCCGCUGUUCUGACGGUACCCAAAGAAUAAGCACCGGCUAACUUCGUG
rnacentral:rRNA from 1 species